rnacentral:rRNA from 1 species
UUGGAAACUGGUUAACUUGAGUGCANUAGAGGUAAGUGGAACUCCAUGUGUAGCGGUGGAAUGCGUAGAUAUAUGGAAGAACACCAGUGGCGAAGGCGGCUUACUGGACUGCAACUGACGUUGAGGCUCGAAAGUGUGGGUAGCAAACAGGAUUAGAUACCCUGGUAGUCCACACCGUAAACGAUGAACACUAGGUGUUAGGAGGUUUCCGCCUCUUAGUGCCGAAGCUAACGCAUUAAGUGUUCCGCCUGGGGAGUACGACCGCAAGGUUGAAACUCAAAGGAAUUGACGGGGACCCGCACAAGCGG